rnacentral:rRNA from 1 species
AUUAAUUCGAUGCAACGCGAAGAACCUUACCUGGGUUUGACAUAUGCCGGAAAGCUGCAGAGAUGCAGCCCCCGCAAGGUCGGUUUACAGGUGGUGCAUGGCUGUCGUCAGCUCGUGUCGUGAGAUGUUGGGUUAAGUCCCGCAACGAGCGCAACCCUCGUCCUAUGUUGCCAGCGGGUCAUGCCGGGGACUCAUAGGAGACUGCCGGGGUCAACUCGGAGGAAAGUGGGGAUGACGUCAAGUCAUCAUGCCCCUUAAGUCCAGGGCUUCACGCAUGCUACAAUGGCUGGUACAAAGGGCUGCGAUGCCGUAGGUGGAGCGAAUCCCAAAAAGCCAGUCUCAGUUCGGAUUGGGGUCUGCAACUCGACCCCAUGAAGUCGGAGUCGCUAGUAAUCGCGGAUCAGCAACGCUG